rnacentral:rRNA from 1 species
CAAUAGCGUAUAUUAAAGUUGUUGCAGUUAAAAAGCUCGUAGUUGGAUUUCUGGUGGGAGCGAUCGGUCUGGCGCUUAGCGCGAGUACUUGCAUCGUCUCCGGCCAUCCUUGGGGAAAGUCUGUCUGGCAUUAAGUUGUCGGGCAGAGGAUCCUCAUCGUUUACUGUGAAAAAAUUAGAGUGUUCAAAGCAGGCUUAUGCCGUUGAAUAUAUUAGCAUGGAAUAAUAAGAUAGGACUUUGGUACUAUUUUGUUGGUUUGCGCACCAAAGUAAUGAUUAAUAGGGACAGUUGGGGGUAUUCGUAUUCCGUUGUCAGAGGUGAAAUUCUUGGAUUUACGGAAGACGAACUACUCCGAAAGCAUUUACCAAGGAUGUUUUCAUUAA